rnacentral:rRNA from 1 species
GAUGAACGCUGGCGGCGUGCCUAAUACAUGCAAGUCGAGCGAACAGAUAAGGAGCUUGCUCCUUUGACGUUAGCGGCGGACGGGUGAGUAACACGUGGGUAACCUACCUAUAAGACUGGAAUAACUCCGGGAAACCGGGGCUAAUGCCGGAUAACAUUUAGAACCGCAUGGUUCUAAAGUGAAAGAUGGUUUUGCUAUCACUUAUAGAUGGACCCGCGCCGUAUUAGCUAGUUGGUAAGGUAACGGCUUACCAAGGCAACGAUACGCAGCCGACCUGAGAGGGUGAUCGGCCACACUGGAACUGAGACACGGUCCAGACUCCUACGGGAGGCAGCAGUAGGGAAUCUUCCGCAAUGGGCGAAAGCCUGACGGAGCAACGCCGCGUGGGUGAUGAAGGUCUUCGGAUCGUAAAACUCUGUUAUUAGGGAAGAACAAAUGUGUAAGUAACUGUGCACGUCUUGACGGUACCUAAUCAGAAAGCCACGGCUAACUACGUG